rnacentral:misc_RNA from 1 species
UUUCCGUAGGUGAACCUGCGGAAGGAUCAUUAUCGAGUUUGGACUGGGUUGUAGCUGGCCUUCCGAGGCAUGUGCACGCCCUUCUCAUCCACUCUACACCCGUGCACCUACUGUGGGUAUCAGAUCGUGAAGCGUGAUCUUUUACCGGAGCUUGUGAAGCGUGUCUGUGCCUGCGUUUAUCACAAACACUAUAAAGUAUCAGAAUGUGUAUUAAGAUGUAACGAAUAUAUAUACAACUUUCAGCAACGGAUCUCUUGGCUCUC